CAUAAUUGUACAAGUUGUAAAUGAACUAGGUAAAACUCUUCACUAGCCAUGUGCCAGUAUGGAUAAAUGUCCUUUGAGUGACUCUGUUGGUUUAUAUAAACCAUACCAUUUGAGAAACUACAAUCCUAAGCUCCUCUACCUUUUUUCAUCACCUUAAAUUCAAGAAACACUGAACUUUUUAAUCAACAACAAUGGCUACUAAGCCCUUUGACCCUCAAAACCCAAUUCACCCUAAUGGUUGCUAUGCUGUUGAAAAACCUGAUAAGAUAACCUUCCACCAACCAAACAGAGAUGGAAAACCCGAGAUGAAUUUCAACAAGGUCAUGUACUUCACUCAAAAAAGAGAAAUGGGAGGGCGCGAGAUCGUGAGCGACCAGAAUCCGAGGGAUAUUAUUCGUAGCCUGGAGAGCUCGUGGGAGGAGAAAUUAAAAGGUAUGGUCAUGAUAGGCCAAUCCGGCGAUGUACUCCCAGCUCAUCUCCCUCUAAUAGUUGAUAGUGUUACCCAAAUUGAUUUGGUUAAAGUGUUUACAAAACUUAGUGCUUGCAAAGUGAGGUACAAUAAAGAUAAUAUUGGAGAGAUUAUCCCAAUAUUUCUUGAAAAAGUUGUUGAUCCUAUGUCUAAAAUUGACGUUGCUAUCUACCCAGACUGAGAAAAAUUUCCUCUAAGUUUGCUUGUUAUGCGGACGGUUUUCAAGUUUUUUACUUGCAUGCUUAUGUGAGUGAGAAUUAGUGUCUUGGCUACUAGUAGAAGGUUUUGUGUGGAUCCUUUUAUUAGAUUUAUGGACGUAACCUUAGAGUCAAAGUAUGAAGUUGGGGAAAGUGUCUUUGAUUUAGGGUCAUCUUUGGUUAUGUGGAACGCUCAUGUUGCUACUCGACCUUCUUUCAAGUCCAAUGUGCUGAAGAUAGUCUUUGUCCGCAAACCAAUGAUUUUCAUAAUUAUGGAGGCUAGGGUCGGUCGUAUGUCGUUUGAGGAAUCUAUGAAAGCCUUUAACUAUGAAGUUAAUUAGAUUUUGGAUGGUAUUAUUGGUCUAAUGGGUGGGUUAGCUGUCAUUUGGGAUGAGAAGACGGUUAAGCCUGACGAAUUGCUUGUGACUCUCACGCCCGAAUACUCCCUUAGGCUCCUUGGGUCUUUGAAGACCCAUAGCCAGCACCGGCUCAAGCUACGAAGGGUGGUGCAGAUGGAGGUGAUGUAGCAUCGGCUCAAGCUUAGGAGGGUGGUCCAGAUGGUGGUGCUUAUGAGGCACGAUGCACAAGUUGGUGACCUUGAAGAAUCUGGAUAUUUACUAUGAUGUUUCUCUUAAGUAUGUAGUGUUAAGUAAUUUGGUAGCUAUUCGGUCUGUAACUCCUAAUGUUGAACUUCUUAUUAGCACUUAAUUUGGUAUCUGAACUUUUAUUAGGGGUAUGUAAUAAUUAUGGUAACAUGGCUACAUCAUGUUACUAGUUUAAAACCUAAGUAUUUGAGAUGUUAAUUAAUGGUAUGCAUGUCAUCAGUUGGAUAUGGAUUUGUUAUAUAGAAUUAUGCUUGUUACUUUUG